UUGAACUGAAAGAAAGAGAAGUGAAAUGAAGAGAAAAGCGUGCGUCACUUCUUUUCCCUUACCUUUUCUCUUCUAUUCACUUCGUUCUUUCUUUCUU
rnacentral:ribozyme from 1 species